CGGUCUCUUCGGAGGCAGUGGCAGACGGGUGAGUAACGCGUGGGAACAUACCUUUCGGUACGGAACAACAGUUGGAAACGACUGCUAAUACCGUAUACGCCCUAUGGGGGAAAGAUUUAUCGCCGAGAGAUUGGCCCGCGUUGGAUUAGCUAGUUGGUGAGGUAAUGGCUCACCAAGGCGACGAUCCAUAGCUGGUCUGAGAGGAUGAUCAGCCACACUGGGACUGAGACACGGCCCAGACUCCUACGGGAGGCAGCAGUGGGGAAUAUUGGACAAUGGGCGCAAGCCUGAUCCAGCCAUGCCGCGUGAGUGAUGAAGGCCUUAGGGUUGUAAAGCUCUUUCAGCGAGGAGGAUAAUGACGUUACUCGCAGAAGAAGCCCCGGCUAACUUCGUGCCAGCAGCCGCGGUAAUACGAAGGGGGCUAGCGUUGUUCGGAAUCACUGGGCGUAAAGCGCACGUAGGCGGAUUGGUCAGUUAGGGGUGAAAUCCCAGAGCUCAACUCUGGAACUGCCUUUAAUACUGCCAGUCUUGAGUCCGAGAGAGGUGAGUGGAACUCCGAGUGUAGAGGUGAAAUUCGUAGAUAUUCGGAAGAACACCAGUGGCGAAGGCGGCUCACUG
rnacentral:rRNA from 1 species